AUCCGUCGAUGUUCUUUAGAUGACACGGCGGGGAGCUUCUCCCGGGAAACCAAAGCUUUUGGGUUCCGGGGGAAGUAUGGUUGCAAAGCUGAAACUUAAAGGAAUUGACGGAAGGGCACCACCAGGAGUGGAGCCUGCGGCUUAAUUUGACUCAACACGGGAAACCUCACCAGGCCCGGACAUUGGAAGGAUUGACAGAUCGAUAGCUCUUUCUCGAUUCAGUGGGUAGUGGUGCAUGGCCGUUCUUAGUUGGUGGACUGAUUUGUCUGGUUAAUUCCGAUAACGAACGAGACUCUAGCCUACUAACUAGGCGAACCGGUAUAAAAUUCUACCGGCGAUAUUUAUUCUUCUUAAGGGGACAGGCGGCUCUUAGCCGCACGAGAAUGAGCAAUAACAGGUCUGUGAUGCCCUUAGAUGUUCUGGGCCGCACGCGCGCUACACUGAAGGAAUCAGCGUGUACCCCCUUGACCGAAAGGUCCGGGUAACCCGUUGAACCUCCUUCGUGCUAGGAAUUGGGGCUUGCAAUUGUUCCCCAUGAACGAGGAAUUCCCAGUAAGCGCGAGUCAUAAGCUCGCGUUGAUUACGUCCCUGCCCUUUGUACACACCGCCCGUCGCUACUACCGAUUGAAUGAUUUAGUGAGGUCUUCGGACCGGCGAUUCCCGGCCACCGACAUGUUCGGUAUCGAUUUCGCUGGAAAGAUGACCGAACUUGAUCAUUUAGAGGAAGUAAAAGUCG
rnacentral:rRNA from 1 species